rnacentral:rRNA from 1 species
GCAAGUCGAACGGUAGGAAAUGCUUGCAUUUCCGAGAGUGGCGAACGGGUGAGUAACACUUAGAUGAUCUACCUUUUAGUUGGGGAUAGCCCAUGGAAACAUGGAGUAAUACCGAAUAAUCUCUUAGAACUUUAGUUUUAAGAGGAAAGAAGCGGUUACUUCGCUGAAAGAUGAGUCUGCGCACUAUUAGCUAGUUGGUGGGGUAAGGGCCUACCAAGGCGACGAUAGUUAGCCGACCUGAGAGGGUGAUC